ACGAAGGGGGCUAGCGUUGCUCGGAAUGACUGGGCGUAAAGGGCGCGUAGGCGGUCUGACAAGUGGAAGGUGAAAUCCCCGGGCUCAACCUGGGAACUGCCUUCCAAACUGUUUGACUUGAGUCCGGGAGAGGUGAGUGGAAUUCCCAGUGUAGCGGUGAAAUGCGUAGAUAUUGGGAGGAACACCAGUGGCGAAGGCGGCUCACUGGACCGGAACUGACGCUGAGGCGCGAAAGCGUGGGGAGCAAACAGGA
rnacentral:rRNA from 1 species